ACUCUGCUCGAGACGACGCUGGCGGCGUGCCUAACACAUGCAAGUCGAACGAGAAAUACGGAAAGGACCCUUCGGGGGAAUAGAAGUAUGGACAGUGGCGGACGGGCGAGUAACGCGUGAGUAACCUGCCCAUAAGGGAGGGAUAGCCCUUGGAAACGAGGAGUAAUACCUUAUGACAUAUGAUUGCCGCAUGGCAGACAUAUCAAAGAUUUAUCGCUUAUGGAUGGACUCGCGUCUGAUUAGAUAGUUGGUGAGGUAACGGCUCACCAAGUCGACGAUCAGUAGCCGAACUGAGAGGUUGAUCGGCCGCAUUGGGACUGAGACACGGCCCAGACUCCUACGGGAGGCAGCAGUGGGGGAUAUUGCGCAAUGGGGGGAACCCUGACGCAGCAACGCCGCGUGCAGGAAGAAGGUCUUCGGAUUGUAAACUGUUGUCGCAGGGGAAGAAGACAGUGACGGUACCCUGUGAGAAAGUCACGGCUAACUACGUGCC
rnacentral:rRNA from 1 species